GAUGAAGAACGUAGCGAAAUGCGAUAAGUAGUGUGAAUUGCAGAAUUCAGUGAAUCAUCGAAUCUUUGAACGCACAUUGCGCCCUUUGGUAUUCCUUAGGGCAUGCCUGUUCGAGCGUCAUUUAAACCUUCAAGCUCAGCUUGGUGUUGGGUGACUGUCCGCUUCACCGCGGACUCGCCUCAAAAUUAUUGGCGGCCGGUACAUUGGCUUCGAGCGCAGCAGGAACGCGAACUCGGGCCCGUCGUAUUGGCUCCCAGAAGCUAUCUUCACAAUUUUGACCUCGGAUCAGGUAGGGAUACCCGCUGAACUUAAGCAUAUCAAUAAGCGGAGGA
rnacentral:misc_RNA from 1 species